UACGUAGGGUGCAAGCGUUGUCCGGAAUCAUUGGGCGUAAAGCGCGCGUAGGUGGCUUCGUAAGUCCGUUGUGAAAGUCAAAGGCUCAACCUUUGAAUGCCGAUGGAUACUGCGAAGCUAGAGUACGGAAGAGGCGAGUGGAAUUCCUGGUGUAGCGGUGGAAUGCGCAGAUAUCAGGAAGAACACCCGUGGCGAAAGGCGGUUCUCUGGGACGGUACUGACGCUGAGACGCGAAAGCGUGGGGAGCGAACAGG
rnacentral:rRNA from 1 species